UAGGGAAUAUUGCACAAUGGGCGAAAGCCUGAUGCAGCAACGCCGCGUGCGCGAUGACGGCCUUCGGGUUGUAAAGCGCUUUUCGGGGAGAUGAGGAAGGACAGUAUCCCCGGAAUAAGGCUCGGCUAACUACGUGCCAGCAGCCGCGGUAACACGUAGGAGCCAAGCGUUAUCCGAAUUCACUGGGCGUAAAGCGCGUGUAGGCGGCUUGGUAAGUUGGAUGUGAAAGCUCCUGGCUCAACUGGGAGAGGACGUUCAAUACUGCCGGGCUAGAGGGCGACAGAGGGAGGUGGAAUUCCCGGUGUAGUGGUGAAAUGCGUAGAUAUCGGGAGGAACACCAGUGGCGAAAGCGGCCUCCUGGGUCGCACCUGACGCUCAGACGCGAAAGCUAGGGGAGCGAACGG
rnacentral:rRNA from 1 species